rnacentral:snRNA from 1 species
ACAUGAAGAUUAACAAACCACUGAUACAAGGCAGCCAGCAAGUAAUAAAUCAAGAGAAGGAUUCGAUGCAUCACGAACACGAGGCAGGCGAGGUGAAGGAUGGUGACAAGGCCAACGCUAUGCUUGGUAUUGGGGAGCGAGCGAAAGACGC